UGCUUGGGAAUAUGCCUUGAGGUGGGGACGAACAGUUGGAAACGAACUGCUAAUACCGCAUAAUAGUCUACGGACCGAAACGGAAGGGGAGUCUUCGGACCUUUCGUCCUUUAGUAUUAGCCCAACGUGAGAUUAGCUAGAAGGUGAGGUAAUGGCUCACCUAGGCGACGAUCUCUAGCUGGUUUGAGAGGAUGAUCAGCCACACUGGGACUGAGACACGGCCCAGACUCCUACGGGAGGCAGCAGUGGGGAAUAUUGCACAAUGGGGGAAACCCGUGAUGCAGCCAUGCCGCGUGUGUG
rnacentral:rRNA from 1 species